AAUUGGGAUUGCUUGGCAUUGCUUGGAGUCGACUCCAAAAAAUGUGGCUUGAAAAUUUUGUGUUACCGCAUAAUUUGCGAGACGUUUCAAAUAUAACAGCGAAGGUCCAACGAAUGUUUUUUCGUUUUGUAUAGCUUCGAUCAGAGUUUUAUCUUCCUGUUUAAUCAAUUUAAUACCACCUCGAUCCCAACUGUGCUCAACUCUUUUGUGCUUGUAAAUGUUUCCCGAAAUAUUCUGCUGGCAUAUAUCGCACCAAACCAUUUUGCGUUUCCUGUUUAAAUUAUAAAAUAAUUGUUGAUAUAAAAAAUGUUAAACUGAGAGUGAAGAGCGAUUGAGGUUAGAAUAUCACGAAAAUGUGCAUAUGAUUCUAAACGUUCUAAACUCAUUUAUUGGUUUUUUUCUCUCUGCUUUACAUUUCUUGUUACUGUAAAAUCACUUUUCAACAAUUUAUGAAAUCGUAUUCAAUCUAAACACAAUAAAAUCACAAAAUAACUUACAGUUUGCACACAAAAACUAUCGCAAAAUUGCGUUAUGAAAAUAAUGUGUUUACGGUUUUGACAGAUUAUUAAUGUCGACGUAUACGUAACCACAGCUGUCAUAAUAUAUACGUAACUUCGUAUUUUCACAUUGUGGAGAAUUUUUUCUGUUUCAUUAAUAAUGAAUCAUUAUUUUCUGUUCCCAUAGAAUGGUAUGGCGCUCAUUAGCGAGA